rnacentral:rRNA from 1 species
AUGAACGCUGGCGGCGUGCCUAAUACAUGCAAGUCGAGCGAACGGACGAGAAGCUUGCUUCUCUGAUGUUAGCGGCGGACGGGUGAGUAACCCGUGGAUAACCUACCUAUAAGACUGGGAUAGCUUCGGGAAACCGGAGCUAAUACCGGAUAAUAUUUUGAACCGCAUGGUUCAAAAGUGAAAGACGGUCUUGCUGUCACUUAUAGAUGGAUCCGCGCUGCAUUAGCUAGUUGGUAAGGUAACGGCUUACCAAGGCAACGAUGCAUAGCCGACCUGAGAGGGUGAUCGGCCACACUGGAACUGAGACACGGUCCAGACUCCUACGGGAGGCAGCAGUAGGGAAUCUUCCGCAAUGGGCGAAAGCCUGACGGAGCAACGCCGCGUGAGUGAUGAAGGUCUUCGGAUCGUAAAACUCUGUUAUUAGGGAAGAACAUAUGUGUAAGUAACUGUGCACAUCUUGACGGUACCUAAUCAGAAAGCCACGGCUAACUACGUG